CCUACGGGUGGCAGCAGUGGGGAAUAUUGGGCAAUGGGCGCAAGCCUGACCCAGCAACGCCGCGUGAAGGAAGAAGGCUUUCGGCUUGUAAACUUCUUUUGACAGGGAAGAGUAGAAGACGGUACCUGUCGAAUAAGCCACGGCUAACUACGUGCCAGCAGCCGCGGUCAUACGUAGGUGGCAAGCGUUGACCGGAUUUACUGGGUGUAAAGGGCGUGUAGGCGGGUUGAGAAGGCAGCUGUGAAAUCCUGCGGCCUAACCGCAGACCUGCAUUUGAAACUGUUGACCUUGAGUGCUGGAGAGGCAGACGGAAUGCCUGGUGUAGCGGUGAAAUGCGUAGAUAUUAGGCGGAACCCCAGUGGCGAAGGCGGUGUGCUGGGCAGCAACUGACGGUGAGGCGCGAAAGCGUGGGGAGCGAACAGGAUUAGAUACCCGGGUAGUC
rnacentral:rRNA from 1 species